rnacentral:rRNA from 1 species
GACGAACGCUGGCGGCGUGCUUAACACAUGCAAGUCGAACGGAAAGGCCCUGCUUUUGUGGGGUGCUCGAGUGGCGAACGGGUGAGUAACACGUGAGUAACCUGCCCUUGACUUUGGGAUAACUUCAGGAAACUGGGGCUAAUACCGGAUAGGAGCUCCUGCUGCAUGGUGGGGGUUGGAAAGUUUCGGCGGUUGGGGAUGGACUCGCGGCUUAUCAGCUUGUUGGUGGGGUAGUGGCUUACCAAGGCUUUGACGGGUAGCCGGCCUGAGAGGGUGACCGGCCACAUUGGGACUGGGAUACGGCCCAGACUCCUACGGGAGGCAGCAGUGGGGAAGAUUGCACAAUGGGCGGAAGCCUGAUGCAGCAACGCCGCGUGCGGGAUGACGGCCUUCGGGGUGUAAACCGCUUUCGCCUGUGACGAAGCGUGAGUGACGGUAAUGGGUAAAGAAGCACCGGCUAACUACGUG